rnacentral:ribozyme from 1 species
AUCGAAUGAAUGAAAAUCAAGAGAUCAGAACAAUCAAACAUAUUGCUGUUGGUCGGUAUUACGUUUGGUGUGUGGCCACGAAUCAGUAAGCAAUCGAGCAAUGAAUCGACGAGAACAAUUUU